rnacentral:rRNA from 1 species
CCUGAUUCAGCGGCGGACGGGUGAGUAAUGCCUAGGAAUCUGCCCGAUAGUGGGGGACAACGUUUCGAAAGGAACGCUAAUACCGCAUACGUCCUACGGGAGAAAGUGGGGGAUCUUCGGACCUCACGCUAUCGGAUGAGCCUAGGUCGGAUUAGCUAGUUGGUGAGGUAAUGGCUCACCAAGGCGACGAUCCGUAACUGGUCUGAGAGGAUGAUCAGUCACACUGGAACUGAGACACGGUCCAGACUCCUACGGGAGGCAGCAGUGGGGAAUAUUGGACAAUGGGCGAAAGCCUGAUCCAGCCAUGCCGCGUGUGUGAAGAAGGUCUUCGGAUUGUAAAGCACUUUAAGUUGGGAGGAAGGGCAGUAAGCUAAUACCUUGCUGUUUUGACGUUACCAACAGAAUAAGCACCGGCUAACUUCGUGCCAGCAGCCGCGGUAAUACGAAGGGUGCAAGCGUUAAUCGGAAUUACUGGGCGUAAAGCGCGCGUAGGUGGUUCAGCAAGUUGGAUGUGAAAUCCCCGGGCUCAACCUGGGAACUGCAUCCAAAACUACUGAGCUAGAGUACAGUAGAGGGUGGUGGAAUUUCCUGUGUAGCGGU